rnacentral:rRNA from 1 species
AGGGGCGCCUAMCAUGCAGUCGAGCGAGGGAGUACUACGGUACGAACUUAGCGGCGGACGGGUGAGUAACGCGUGGACAAUCUACCCUGUAGACUGGGAUAACACCUCGAAAGGGGUGCUAAUACCGGAUAAUGUCGAGAAGCGGCAUCGCUUUUCGAAGAAAGGAGRGAAUCCGCUAUAGGAGGAGUCCGCGUCCCAUUAGCUAGUUGGUGAGGGUAACGGCCCACCAAGGCGACGAUGGGUAGCCGGCCUGAGAGGGUGAACGGCCACACUGGAACUGAGACACGGUCCAGACUCCUACGGGAGGCAGCAGUGGGGAAUAUUGUGCAAUGGGGGAAACCCUGACACAGCGACGCCGCGUGAGUGAAGAAGGCCUUCGGGUCGUAAAGCUCAAUAGUAUGGGAAGAAAGAAAUGACGGUACCAUACGAAAGCCCCGGCUAACUACGUGCCAGCAGCCGCGGUAAUACGUAGGGGGCGAGCGUUGUCCGGAAUUACUGGGCGUAAAGAGCACGUAGGCGGCUAUAAAAGUCAGAUGUGAAAAACCUGGGCUCAACCGAGGGUAUGCAUCUGAAACUAAAUAGCUUGAGUCAAGGAGAGGAGAGCGGAAWUCYUGGKUGURGCGGUGAARU